rnacentral:rRNA from 1 species
UACGUAGGGUGCGAGCGUUAAUCGGAAUUACUGGGCGUAAAGGGUGCGCAGGUGGCCGCGCAUGUCGAGUGUGAAAUCCCCGGGCUUAACUUGGGAAUUGCGCUCGAAACUACGUGGCUCGAGUGUGGCAGAGGAAGGUGGAAUUCCACGUGUAGCGGUGAAAUGCGUAGAGAUGUGGAGGAACACCGAUGGCGAAGGCAGCCUUCUGGGCCAACACUGACGCUCAUGCACGAAAGCGUGGGGAGCAAACAGG